rnacentral:rRNA from 1 species
GACGAACGCUGGCGGCGUGCUUAACACAUGCAAGUCGAACGGAAAGGCCCUGCUUGCAGGGUACUCGAGUGGCGAACGGGUGAGUAACACGUGGGUGAUCUGCCCUGCACUUCGGGAUAAGCCUGGGAAACUGGGUCUAAUACCGGGUAGGAGCCAUUUUUAGUGUGAUGGUUGGAAAGUUUUUUCGGUGUAGGAUGAGCUCGCGGCCUAUCAGCUUGUUGGUGGGGUAAUGGCCUACCAAGGCGGCGACGGGUAGCCGGCCUGAGAGGGUGGACGGCCACAUUGGGACUGAGAUACGGCCCAGACUCCUACGGGAGGCAGCAGUGGGGAAUAUUGCACAAUGGGCGCAAGCCUGAUGCAGCGACGCCGCGUGGGGGAUGACGGCCUUCGGGUUGUAAACUCCUUUCGCUAGGGACGAAGCUUUUUGUGACGGUACCUAGAGAAGAAGCACCGGCUAACUACGUG